rnacentral:rRNA from 1 species
GGGGGGGGGGGGGGGGGGGGGGGGGCGGGGAGGGCGAGGGGGAGGGCCCGGCGGGGGGCGCGAGGGGCGAGCGGGUGAGUAGCACGUGGGUGAUCUGCCCUGCACUUUGGGAUAAGCCUGGGAAACUGGGUCGAAUACCGAAUAGGACCACGCGCUUCAUGGUGUGUGGUGGAAAGCUUUUGCGGUGUGGGAUGGGCCCGCGGCCUAUCAGCUUGUUGGUGGGGUAAUGGCCUACCAAGGCGACGACGGGUAGCCGGCCUGAGGGGGUGACCGGCCACACUGGGACUGAGAUACGGCCCAGACUCCUACGGGAGGCAGCAGUGGGGAAUAUUGCACAAUGGGCGCAAGCCUGAUGCAGCGACGCCGCGUGAGGGAUGACGGCCUUCGGGUUGUAAACCUCUUUCAAUAGGGACGAAGCGCAAGUGACGGUACCUAUAGAAGAAGCACCGGCCAACUACGUG